rnacentral:lncRNA from 1 species
UUAGAUGAUGACUACUCUGAGGGUUUUUUUUUUUUUCGUGGUUGGUAAUUUGUUGACUUCUAAUUGGAUUCUUAUAUCAGUUUAAUGGUUCUAGGGUGUUUCUUCUUUAAAUAAAUUCAAACGUGUCUUUACCAUUUUUACAUUCCUUUUUACCAUUUCCUUAUAUUGUAGAUAUCUACAAUGACUUUUUACCUUCCUAGAUCAAAAUUCAUAAAUACAAAUUGGUACAAAAUUAUAGCGCCAUGAGUAAAAAAGUUUAGCCAAUUAGUUAUUUUUGUUGUAGUCUAUGCAAUCAGUUGGCUUGAAGGGUACUAUGUUUUUAUCCAAAUUAGAACCAAAUUUAUAAAUCUGUCUGAAGCAUGCCCCCAAAAUAGCCAAAGUCAUCAGUGCCGCCCACGAUUACAAGGCAAUACAUCCCAUUCUCGCGAGCUGUUAACACCUUAUUGCUCAACAACACUUCGCCACCACCCUCAAAAUGUAAAGCAAUUCUUGGCAAUUCUGAAGGCGUUGUGGUAAAAAAACAAAGGGUAUCCAACCCAUAGUUUUUAUUUACGACUGACUCUAAUGGAACUGCCUUUUGUAUCUUAGUUACCACCCGGUCAAACAGAUCUUUUGGUAGUCGUGGAAAAGGUGUACCUGAGUCGAUCAACAUGUUAUCUUUUUUCAGCAGGGUACCAUUUGAGUUAAAUGGAACAAAAUCAUUUCCGAUGCUAAUUCUUGAUACCAUCACAUAAUAAAAGGUUGUAUGAUUGACUAAAGGUGUUGUCACCACCUCUUCAUCCAAAACUUUACUUGACACGACCCACCCCGAAUUUCACCCUGAAACCCGGAGUAAGUCGUGCGGGGACCACCUCCAAGGAAAAUUUACUGAAAAGAUUAAGGAAAUCUCCCUUGCAGAUGGACAACCCUAACUCGAAAAUUCCAAAUUACACUCUUAAUUCAACACUUCCAAACAUCACAUAAUUAUCCUUUAGAAAUUCUACACAUAAUAUACAAUAAUCCCAAAAUAUUCAGAGCUACUAAACACUAGCGGAAGCAAGAAAACACGAGUAGGUUGAACAUGUAACCUACUGACGAAAACUGGCAGAAAUGCGGGUGACUAUGCCUCGCCUCCUACUAGAUCCAACCCGAACUCUGCAGACUGGGCAAUUUAAAACGAAGGGCCCAGGGAAAAACAUUUAAUAACGUUAGAGUGAGUUGACAAAAAUAAAAUAAUAAAUAAAAUAUUUAUGUUUCCCCAAAUUAAUUUCUAAGGAAAAAUCGAAUGCAUGCCGCAAGCGAUAAAACUUUUAUCUCAUAAAAAAAUCGAGCCUCUCAGACUCUAUAAUAUAUAUAUGUAUUUACACUCGUCGAUACUCCCUAUAUAAAUUCAUGGGUCUAUAUAGGGCUACUACGCUCGCGUCCAACGCUCACGUCACGCCCUAAUGCGGUGCUACACUACGCCAUCAAGGUGGACAGACGGGUGUAUCAAUAUGUGUCCAUACCCCCUAUAUGAAUUAAACACUCAAAUAGGGCUACUACGCUUACGUCCAACGCUCACGUCACACCAUAAUGCGGCUAUAUGCUACGCCAUUAAGGUGGACAGACACAUAUGGCUAGCUAGCAUUUAUAUACUCUCUCAUAAAUACAUAUUUAUAUCCACCGAAAAUCCCAUUUUCGGUAACUCUCCAAGAGAAAUAAAAAUCGUCAAAUUAAAAUGACGUUAAAAUAUUCUGCAACAUUAAUUGUUCAACCAUGAACUAUAGCAUGCAUUUAUUUAAAAUAAACGUCCACUCACAAAUUAGGCCUAAGCCUGAUGUCGAUCUGGGGCCUUGUCUGCUCGAGCCUCCUCACGUCCUGUUCCAAAUAUAAUAUUAAUUUCCCAACCAAUAAUCCAAUAUUUAAUCAAAAUAGGCAAAAUUACCCGAGGGCCAUAAAUACGCUCAUCAUUGCCUAACUUCGAUAUUCUUAAAUCGGGACGAUCCGAACUUAAAUAUCAUACUCAACAGUCGUAAAUACAACCUCCCCAAAAUACGACUUAAAUCCUACGGCCGGAUUCUACAUUAAUUAACCGCCAAAAAUACCAAACUUCGGAAAUUCACAAACCUACCCAAAUCUCAUCCAAAAAUUCCAUAAAUCACAUCAAUAUACUCCUCUUAAUAUUCCACACUUAAAACCCUAAAAAUCUCCUAACCGGCGGCGGCCGCCGGAGGCCAAUUCCGGCGACCUCCAAAACCUAUGAAAUUUUGACAGAAUAAUCUCCUCAUCAUGCUCUACAACUUUCCUGACCAACACAUCACCCAAUUCCAAGCCUAACUAGGCUAAUCGAACAAAAACAUCCUAAAAGCCCUAGAAAUUUCAACUCCACAUUUCUCCUUACCUAGCUCAAGAGGGAGUGAGCUGAUUGGAGGGGUUGUUGCACGAGAGGAGGGCUACAAAAUGAGCCAAGGAUCACUGGUUUUGGUGGCCGGAGGAGGGAGCUCCGGCAAGAGAACCACCACGGCAGCUAGCGGCUCCAGGCGACGUUUCUCUCUCACGGCGGCGCUAGGGGAGCUGCUACCGGCCUAGAAUGGAAGCUGGGUUGGAGACCGAUCGAUUGGGACCGGUGCGGCGGUCUGGGGCGGCAGGACGGCGGCGGUCGGGCGGCCGGAAGGUUUGGCUGCGGGAGGACUCGGGGAGAAACCGGGAGGAAAAGAGAGGAAAAGAGAAUGGGUUUGGGCCUCACACCCCAAACCGGUCCAUCACCUAUAUACUACCCAAUUCUAAAAUAAAACACCCCGAAAAAAUAAUACCCGAAUAAAAAUUACCUUUUACUAGCUAAAAUUUAUCAUUUUUACUGUUGACAUAAAUUCUCCCACGAAUGAUUCCCCGAAAUUAAUCGUCCCUUUAAAACACCUCUAGGGACCAAUUAAACUAUUACCUCAAUGACGGAGACGGUAAAAUUCUUAUUAUAAUCAAGCUAGUAAAUAAGGUAAAAAUAUAAGGGUCGGGAUGUGACAUUACUCUUGUUCCUGAAAUAGAUCUUGCUUUCCAAAUUGGGAUCUUACACCAAACAAUGAGAGAAUCUCUUGCCUCCAACAUAAGGAGCAAUUUGAGAGACAAAUGACAAGGGCCCACGCCUAAGCCCUAUAACUCCCAUUUCAUUUCCAGUGCUAAAAGUGUUAUUGUUCGUAGUCUUACACCUAAAGAUAAUGUCUUUUAGGAUUACAACGUUACAUGUAGUGGAUUUCAACAAAAUUGUUUCUCUACUUAGAUUACCUAUUGUGUAUGUCCUGUCUGCAUAACUGUACAUGUACACGUAAUUUGUAGAAGGUUCUUUUUUAUACACUCAUGCUAAACUCGGGGUAUAGGAUUCGCCAAGUAGUCUACAGUCCCCUGACUGACAUGUAAUGUUCUACUAAGUUGAUGAGUUUCUCAGGUUAAAAACACCAAACUUGGUCUUGUAACAAGCAUUGCAUGGCUCACAUUGCGUCCAUAAUAGAUCGCUACCAUUAUCAGUAAUUGCAUAAAUAUCGAUAGGCGGAGUUCUCAUUGAGAACUUCAUAAUACGUUCGAAGUUGGUAUCAAGUUUCAUCGGUGCUUCGGGAACUUCUGGACCUAUCAACCGUCGAGAAACUUUGUUGUUUCUUUGUUUGUGCAAUGGUGAUUUGGGGGAAUUUUUAUGGAUAAGAUGGGCGCUAAAUUCACCCUUGAUAUUGUUGAUAUUGGUUGUUGCUGUAACAAUAUAGUAUCCAAGAUGAAAGAAAAAAAGGGUGAUGAUGACUAUAGUAUGGUUAAUUCUUGGUGAAGAACAAAGGGUAGCCAUAUGAUCGAGUUUACAUGAUGAUACACGAAAAAGAAAAAAAAGACUUGAAUUCGAGGCAAGAUCACAAAGGAUUUCAAAGAUUUGUGAUCUUUAAAUGUUAAAAGGUUACUUCACUCCACAAAUAUCCAGUUAUGAUUGAACGUUAAAUUUUAGUUAAAGAUCACAAUUGAUUGUUCAUAUAGAGAUUGUAAAUUUUGUGUUUACAGCUGAAAAACCACUAUUCACACUUGGAGACAUAACAUUAACGUGGACGUGGUUGUGGAAAAUCUAUUUUUAGAAAUAUUUGAAAUGUGAUGUGGUCCACGUUUUUUUGAAACAACUCUGUACUAGUAGUUUUAUAGGGCAGAGCCUCAUUUGAAGAGUUUUUUUUUCUUCUUUUUUCUUUUCCAAAUAUUGUAUUUUGCAAUAAUUUCCUACCAUACAUUUCAAAAUUAGUUAAUUAAGUCAUUAGAGUGUAUUAAAAUAUUACCUGAAAGAGCACAAAUAGUUUUAGUACAGAGUUACACGUGCUAAGUUGAAUCCAUAAGGAAUGUAUGAAAAAUGAAUAAACUAAUCAAAUCAAACUAAUCGAUUCUAAAUGAAUUUAACGCUAAUUUAGUUGAAUAAAAGUUGGUUGUGAUGCAAAAUUAAGUGAUCCUAGAUUUGAGUCUGACCAUCCUAACUCCAAGAUGAGGCCCUAUGCUCAACAUAAUGCCCAAACCCAAUUCUAGGAUCUUUUCGCUACCGUCGUCGCACCGUUACUAGUAGAACUCGAAAGAUAAAGCACACAAGCAUAGAGCCGAAUCUGCACCCUUGAAGGACAGAGUGAUUGACGCUACCUCACAACAUAUUUGUUACUUUAUCAGCAAGUAACUUUGUCAUCUUAGCCUUCAUUUUAGAUUCAUAUAUCCAUUCUUUUUAUCCUGUUUAAUUCCUUCUUUUGCACAUCAACCAAACUGAGUUUGCAUACUUUGCAUAUGUAGGCAGACUGACCAUGUUUUGUGACGAAGUUGCAUACCUUCAGUGUUGUUUGCUAUUCGAAUGCAAAAUGCAUUGGCCUCUUCAUGUCUAGACAGUAAGUGUUCUUCUGUCAACGGAUAUUCGCCACCACGCACUCUUAUCUUCUUUGUUCCCGAAAAAGAUCCUGCUUUCAAUGUAUGUUCUAUGACAACAGAUGAACUACAAAAACCACAUUACAUUGCAGAGCCCUUAUAUUUACUAUCAUAUAUAUACUAAAUGAAGUCCCACUCUGAUACCACACAGAAGUUUCAAUUUAUUUUCCAUCAAAGAAUUGAACUUUCUCAGAUUAUGUAAGAGGAGUUUUUGAGCAAAUGUGAUGUGAAUUAGUGUUCAAGAAGUUGUACUGAAUAUAUUGAAGGAGGGAAAUUACAUGGAGCCCUCUUUUAUUAUAUUGGUGUACUACGACAAGAAGCAGCAAAUUUUAAUUCAUGUGGAUCAAUUUCAUAAGAUGGAACUCUAAAGCUAUCAGAUUUUGGAUUCUUUUGGGGGAGUGUUGGCGAAUCUCCAUUCCAAGUGCAUCAGGUUUCCAUAAGUUCUACCACCCGCCACUUGGUCUAGUGGAACAGCACCAGAAACUUGUUUCAAGUCUUCUUCCCCAAGUUUCACCUUUAAGGAGCCAAUGUUUGCGUCUAGGUUCUUUAUCUUUGUUGUUCCUGCAGUGGAACCGGAAUGUCAGUAUGACAGGGAUAUAUAAGAAGUUAAGAACAUAACAGAUGAAAAGGACAAUGAACAAUUACUCUUAGAAUCCAUAAUUUUGGAAGUCAUGUUUUCAUUGUUGAGAACAAAUAUGGAAAUGAUGAUGAGUCACCUGGGAUAGAUACAACAUCAUCUCCUUGGUGAAGAACCCAUGCAAAUGCUAGUUGAGGAGUACGGCAUUGGUGCUUUUGAGCAAGGCUUUCCAAUUGAUUGUAAAUAGUCUUGUUCUUCUCCAAGUUCUCUCCUACGAACCGAGGAUGGGAUGACUAGAACAUAGAAAAGAAAACUGAUUCAAUUAACCAGUAUAAUUCUGUUUAAGCAGCCGGAGCCGUGCACCGCCAUAUCUCGAGUCAGGGGGAGGAGGAGUUUUGGUCUGCUAUAGACUGGUUUGAGUCCAGAAAUGGAGAGGGAGGUGAGUCUAGGGUACCUUUUAGGAUGUAUGGCCCCGAGUUGACAUGCAUGAGCAUGGAGAAUAUGACUGAGUUUCCUGGUAGUACUGGGAAUACGCCGUUGAUGCACACAGCUGUGUUUAAUACGGAGAGGAGGCCCGUACACGUGUCGUAUCAUGUCGGAAAUGUGGAAGGGGAAGGGUUGAUAAUGGUGAUGCCAUCUCCCGAAGGAGAGCUCGCGAGGAUGGUUACGGUGACGUUGCCGGUGGAGGAACUAGAGCAGCUACGUGAGGAUGAAGCUGUUCUGAGCCUAAACCCAAUAAGUGGGACGAAACAAGCAUAAAUUUCUGUUAUGUCUAUCUCUGAAGGAAUAAAAAGGUCUGAACGAUCUUUUUCAAGUUGAUUUUGUGUUUAUGUACUUUAAAUGUGAUUAUUACUGCUCAAAAAUUGAAUUAAAAUAGAACCUGAUCGAUAGCCUCACACAUCUUGAGCUUGAUUUUAUAUAUAUUCUGUUUCACUUCUGUAACUACUCUCUCUCUCUCUCUCGCUCUCUCUGGGUCUCUAUCAGAGCUAGGAGAUUAGGCGUAGGAUAGGUUUAGGUUUNUGUAUACGAACUAUAGUAGUUAUANAUAAGAGGUAGNUNUAUAGAGAUUNUUNUUCUUCUUNNAAGAAGAUUUUGUUUUUUUUUUUUUUUUUAUAAAUUUUUUUAUUAAAUAACUCACACACCCAAUAUAUGUCAAUGAGGUUUGAACCCAUGACGUCAAAGUUGUUAGUUAACCACCUUAACCAACCACGCCACGGCUCACCGACAAGGAACUGUGAUUUAGGGUUCAAUUAAUAUACACAUGCACACACAUUUAUUGGGAAAAAAAUGUAAUACACGCAUGAUGUAGACAAAGAAGCAACAUCAAGAAAUUUAAGAUAAGUUCAGAAUGAUCUAAAUCCUUAGUGAGUUGGUGUUACUUCCGGUAUAAAAUUGUAUAAUGCAGUUCAAAUAUCACUGAGUAUAUAUUAUUUUGUUAUUGGAAACGAUAACACUUUAUUCAUAAUAACUAGUAGCAUUACAUUGAAACUUGCAUGUCACACAGUGUGGCGUAGAGAAAAUAAGUUCCCCACAUAUGAUACUACUCAAAGAAGUACAAUGGGAUAUGAUAUCCCCAUAUUUAACCUACUUAUCAUAGAGAAGCUUCGUUUGCCUCAAAUACACAUAUUACUGAUGAUUUAGUUCAGAGUCUUUUGAGGAGUGUUGGCAUAUUUCCAUUGCACAUGACUCGAGCUUGGAUAAGUUUUAUCACCAGCUACUUCGUCUAGUGGAACAGCUUCAGUGAUUUCUUUGAGGUCAUCUUCCUUGAGAUUCAGACUUAAGGAGCCAAUGUUGGUAUCCAGGUUCUUAAUCUUUGUUGUCCCUGCAUGUAUAUGUAUGUGGAAAUUAGUUCAAAGUACUAUAAUAUUUGUCGUCUGCAUUAUUUAACUUGAAGAUCGAGGAAGAGGUUCUCAGACUCACCGGGGAUUGGUACAACGUCAUCACCUUGGUGGAGAACCCACGACAGUGCUAGUUGAGCAGGAGAGCAAAGGUGCUUAUUUGUAGCAAGGUUUUCUAUUGCCUGGUACAUGUGUCUGUUCUUCUCCAAGUUCUCUCCAGUUAGCCGAGGAUGUGCGGCCUGGUAUUACAAAAUCCAAGAUUAUGUCACAUAGUAAUGCCAUAAUGAAAUGCUCUUUUUCUGAAUUACAGAUCUCUCUGUUUAGACGUAUACUAUAUCAUGCUCUAUACGUGUGUUCUAAGUUUGUCAUAGAAUUUGAGAAGAGAUCAAUGUAAGGGAGAAGACGAUUUGUACCGCAUGAACAUUUGGAUCCAAACUUUGGACAACUCCUUUGCCUGCGAAGAAACCACGACCAAGAGGACUAUAUGGAACUAUUCCAAUGCCACGCUCCCUGCACCAUGUGAUCAGGAGAAUUUAAGAUUGAUCGAUGUACAUGUGAUAUGGGAAUCGAAGAAUAGUAUGAUGGAAUGGAAAAACGCAAACAUUGUGCAUGAAAUCUUUAUAUUCAUAUUGCAUUCCUAAAUCUACACAAUCUGUAUGAUGUUUACAUCAUUCAUUUUCAUCUGAUGAUACCAGCCCACAUGUACACCUCUGUCCCUCAUUUCUGCAUUAGUUCUUGUAUGUCCUUAUCAAUGUUACUUUGAUUAAAUAGAUGAGAUAUUAGAAGAAAUUAAAGAAGAUUCAACUAAUAAUAAAAUUGUACGUAUACUCUCAAGCUAGUCAUGGUAUCAAAGACAAUGUGAUAGGUGAAUCUAUUUGUGAGAAUGAAAGAACUAUCAUCAUCCCAGUUCACUUUCUAGUUCGAAAGACACAUGUAUAUAGUAACGGAUACUGUGUUUGAUUCUACCAGAAAAAAGUUUAUACAUAAAUAUUAAUGUUGAAAUGAAUUAAUUAUAUACCUGCAAAGUGGAAUAAUCUCUUCUUCAAUAUCUCUAGUCCAAAGAGACCACUCCAUUUGCACAGCUGUGAUGGGAUGCACAGCAUGCGCUCUCCUUAUUGUGUCUGGACUGGCUUCAGAUAACCCAAUAUACUUGAUCUUUCCUUCUUCCACAAGUUUCUUCAGCUCUUCCAUCUAAAAUCCAACAAGAAAAAAGAGCAAGUAUCUUAUCACAUUUCCAUCUGGGGUUGUUUUGGUACUAAAUGCAUAUGUUCAAAUGAAAAUUAAUUUCAAACUUACAGUUUCCUCUAUUGGCACCGUUUGAUCAAUGCGGUGAUAAUAGUAGAGGUCAAUGUAGUUGACGCCAAGACGCUUCAAGCUAGCCUCGCAGCAUGACAUACUCCGGAGUUCCCUUCACCACCAAGCGAGGAGGUCCUAAGCUUACAAUACCAAACUUCGUUGCUAGUUGAACCUCUUCCCUUGGCAACUGCUUCAGGGCCUAAAACAACAUACAGAAAAUUAGUCUGCCUCUCAUUACCACUAUCUGUGAUGUUUCCUCAAACUAACUACCCCAUUUGUGGAACUGGACUUUGAUAGUAUCAGAAUUCAGUAACAAAAAUUCACAUUGCAUUUGAUAAUCUCUCAAAAACACUUGGACAAAUGCUUUAAGGAAAGUUCACCAGCGAAGGUGUGAUCAAAUCAUCAAAUCAUCAAAUUAUCUUACUUACCUUGCCAACAAGAAUUUCAUUGGCAUGAUCAGUUCCGUAUAUAUCAGAUGUGUCGAAGAAAGUGAUUCCUUUACUGAAGGCAUGCUUUAUAAUGGAGAUUCCAUCCUCUUCAGCACCAGGAGACUUGACAAACGUCAAUCCCAUGCAUCCAAACCCCAAUUUUGAAACCUGAUGAAGUUAAUACCAUGAUCGGAUAUUAGAAAUAAACCAAACAAAUCAAGCUACUGAAAGGAAGUUAAUUAUUCAGGAAUGAAAGAAAAUGCAGGAGGAUUAUAUCUGACCUCAAAUCCUUGAGUUCCUAGUUUAACCUUUGGGAUCUGUAUUUCCUUCUGUUCAGCCAUUUCUUCGAUCUCUUCCUUCAAAUGAUUACUAUUGAGUCGUGAAACUGGGAAUGGGACUGUGAAGAGUGAAGUUCAAGAUUUACAAAACUCUUUAAAAUCUGCUGUGUUUGAAAUUGCAGUUUGGCCAUAUGAUUCUGUGGUUAUAUAUGUACUCACACACUGGCAAGUGACAUCAUUGACUAUGUCAUAGUAUCUAGUUCUCGUUGACUAUUUCAAAGUAUUUCUCCCUCGUUAGAGUUAGAGCACUAUGUCACUAUGGCUCUUUUUAUGGUAAGUCAUUAUGUCAUUGUGCCACUACUUAACAAAGUAAUAACUGACAUCACUGCACAUGCAUGUCUUGGCUUUACCGCUUGCAGAGGUACACCUUACUUGAGCAUUAUUGGGAGGAUGACAAAACAGUGUUUACCAUAUAUCUUUAUCAUUUGGGUCCAAAGCCAGAGGCUUCCAAUACAAACUCGCCGGCGCUUUGUCACCAAAAGCAACAUUCUUGAGUCAAAUGGAUCUGACCUCGAACCAAAUUUUAUAAUCGACGAGUUACCCGAGUCUAAGAGUAACAAAACAACAUUGCAACUGACAAUAAAUCAAGUCAAUUAGCUUUCUUCAACAUCGUGUUUAAAAAUUAUCAGAUCACGUGCAAAGACAAUCCACCCACAUAUUAACAACUAAACAACAUCGUAAUGAAAACACUUAUCCACAUGAAUGAUGUCACCACAGUAGCAUAUCGACAAAACCAAGGCAACCCAACACUCGCUUAAAAGCAUCCCACCCACACCAAUGAGACCAGAAGCCAAUGCUAGCGCGAGGGCACCACCAGACAAGCGAGAUACUCAAUAUGUUUUCCUAACCAUAAGCCUCUUGUUUUUGCAGAGCAAAUGAGACUUUUUAGAUGAUGACUACUCCGUAGGUUUUUUUUUUUUUCGUGGUUGGUAAUUUGUUGAUUUGUAAUUGGAUUCCUAUAUCAGUUUGAUGGUUCUAGUGUGCUUCUUCUUUAAAUAAAAUCAAACGUGCCUUUACCAUUUUUACAUUCUUUUUUACCCAGUCGGGAUCCAGAGAGGACGUCUACAUAGCCCUUAAAGUGCGGACAUCCCUCCGUCCUCCACCGUACUGCUCCGACGACAGCGCGUCUCCACCCAAGCGGUCUAUAGCAACGUCCCCGAUCACUUUCCCUCCCCGGCGAGUCCGCCGAAUUCUAGUUUUCUAGUGAGAUCACCCAAAACUUCGAACCAAAUCGAUCUCACUGGAAAACUAAUUCGGCGGACUCGUCGGGAAGGGAAAAUGAUCGGGGACGCUACUGGAGGCCGCUAGGGUGAAGGUGCGCCGUUGUCGAAGCCGUAUGGUAGAGAACAGAGGAACGUCUGCACUUUAAGGGCGUGCGGACGACCUCCUUAGAUCCUCUCCACCUUUUUACCAUUUCCAUUGUAGAUAUCUACAAUGACUUUUUACCUUCCUAGAUCAAAAUUCAUAAAUACAAAUUGGUACAAAAUUAUAGCGCCACGAGUAAAAAUGAUUAGGCAAUUAGUUAUUUUUGUUGUCGUCUCUACAAUCAGUUGGCUUGAAGGAUACUACGUUUUUAUCCAAAUCAAAACCAAUUAAUAAAUCUGUCUGAAGCAUGCCCCCAAAAUAGCCAAAGUCAUAGUGCCACCCACGAUUGCAAGACAAUACAUCCCAUUCUCACGAGCUGUUAACACCUUAUUGCUCAACGGCACUUCUCCACCACCUCAAAAUGUAAAGCAAUUCUAAAGGCGUCGUGGUAAUAAAGCAAAGGGUAUCCAACCCAUAGUUUUUAUUUACGAUUGACUCUAAUGGAACUGCCUUUUGUAGCUUAGUUACCAACCGGUCAAACAUAUAUUUUGGUAGUCGUGGAAAAGGUGUACCUGAGUCGAUCAACAUGUUAUCUUUCUUCAGCAGGGUACCAUUU